rnacentral:rRNA from 1 species
ACACAUGCAAGUCGAAGCGGCAGCGACACAUUGACCCUUCGGGGGAUUUGUUGGGCGGCGAGUGGCGGACGGGUGAGUAAUGCCUGGGAACAUGCCUUAGUGUGGGGGAUAACCAUUGGAAACGAUGGCUAAUACCGCAUAAUCUCUACGGAGCAAAGAGGGGGACCUUCGGGCCUCUCGCGCUAAGAUUGGCCCAGGUGGGAUUAGCUAGUAGGUGGGGUAACGGCUCACCUAGGCGACGAUCCCUAGCUGGUCUGAGAGGAUGAUCAGCCACACUGGAACUGAGACACGGUCCAGACUCCUACGGGAGGCAGCAGUGGGGAAUAUUGCACAAUGGGGGAAACCCUGAUGCAGCCAUGCCGCGUGUGUGAAGAAGGCCUUCGGGUUGUAAAGCACUUUCAGCAGUGAGGAGGGCGGUAUCGUUAACAGCGGUAUCGUUUGACGUUAGCUGCAGAAGAAGCACCGGCUAACUCCGUGCCAGCAGCCGCGGUAAUACGGAGGGUGCGAGCGUUAAUCGGAAUUACUGGGCGUAAAGCGCAUGCAGGCGACUUGUUAAGCCAGAUGUGAAAGCCCGGGGCUCAACCUCGGAAUCGCAUUUGGAACUGGCAGGCUAGAGUCUUGUAGAGGGGGGUAGAAUUUCAGGUGUAGCGGUGAAAUGCGUAGAGAUCUGAAAGGAAUACCGGUGGCGAAAGGCGGCCCCCUGGACAAAGACUGACGCUCAGAUGCGAAAGCGGUGGGGGAGCAAACAGGAUUAGAUACCCUGGUAGUCCACCGCCGUAAACGAUGUCUACUUGGAGGUUGGUGUCUUGAACCACUGGCUUUCGGAGCUAACGCGUUUAAGUAAGACCCGCCUG